GACGAACGCUGGCGGCGUGCUUAAUACAUGCAAGUAGAACGCUGAGGGCGGAGCUUGCUUCUCUGGAUGAGUUGCGAACGGGUGAGUAACGCGUAGGUAACCUGCCUUGGAGCGGGGGAUAACUAUUGGAAACGAUAGCUAAUACCGCAUAAUAGUAGCUGUUGCAUGACAUUUGCUUAAAAGGUGCGAUGGCAUCACUACCAGAUGGGGCUGCGUUGUAUUAGCUAGUGGGUGGGGUAACGCAUCACCAAGGCGAGGAUACAUAGCCGACCUGUGAGGGUGAUCGGCCACACUGGGACUGAGACACGGCACAGACUCCUACGGGAGGCAGCAGUAGGGAAUCUGCGGGAAUGGACGGAAGUCUGACCGAGAAACGCCGCGGGAGUGAAGAAGGUCUUCGGAUCGUAAAGCUCUGCUGUAAGAGAAGAACGCGUGUGAGAGUGGAAAGUUCACACUGUGACGGUAUCUGACCAGAAAGGAACGGCUAACUACGUG
rnacentral:rRNA from 1 species